rnacentral:pre_miRNA from 1 species
UCUGCGACAAUUUACUGUUAGGUGGAAAUAAUUCUCUGACAGUCAUUUGUAGCAGUAU